GACGAACGCUGGCGGCGUGCUUAACACAUGCAAGUCGAACGGAAAGGCCCUUUCGGGGGUGCUCGAGUGGCGAACGGGUGAGUAACACGUGGGUGAUCUGCCCUGAACUUUGGGAUAAGCCUGGGAAACUGGGUCUAAUACCGGAUAUGACCAGUGGGUGCAUGCUUGCUGGUGGAAAGCCUUGUGCGGUUUGGGAUGGGGCCCGCGGCCUAUCAGCUUGUUGGUGGGGUAAUGGCCUACCAAGGCGACGACGGGUAGCCGACCUGAGAGGGUGAUCGGCCACACUGGGACUGAGACACGGCCCAGACUCCUACGGGAGGCAGCAGUGGGGAAUAUUGCACAAUGGGCGCAAGCCUGAUGCAGCGACGCCGCGUGAGGGAUGAC
rnacentral:rRNA from 1 species